UACGUAGGGUGCAAGCGUUGUCCGGAAUUAUUGGGCGUAAAGAGCUCGUAGGCGGUCUGUCGCGUCGGCUGUGAAAACCCGAGGCUCAACCUCGGGCCUGCAGUCGAUACGGGCAAACUAGAGUACUGCAGGGGAGACUGGAAUUCCUGGUGUAGCGGUGGAAUGCGCAGAUAUCAGGAGGAACACCGGUGGCGAAGGCGGUUCUCUGGGCAUUACCUGACGCUGAGGAGCGAAAGUGUGGGGAGCGAACAGG
rnacentral:rRNA from 1 species